GAAGGUAAUGUGUCUAUAAUCCUAUUUAUUGCUCACUUGAUUGAUUCCCUCGAACAAACUUCUGAAAUCUGAUUAGUUUCUUUUAAUUGAAUCCUUCAAUAAUAUCUUCUAAAAUCCAUUGUGUUAAUUACUUGAUGGAAGUGUUUAAGGAUGAUGAAGAAGAAUCCUUAGGCACGAAAAGAACAUGCGACAACAUUGGGAGGUGUUUUGUAAGCAUUAAGUAUUCAUACAAAGAUGGUGAAUCUGAAUAUUUUGAUUGCUGCAGUGAUGUUUCUAAUAAUAAUCUUUGUGGUAACUGGUAAGAUACCCUUUGAUGGCCCUUUCACAAGCUUCCCAAUCGGAAGGAAUAUCCCACGCUAUACCAUAUGAAACACACAGAACGGGCUAAAGCUACAAGGACUCAUCUCUUAGGAUUUUGGAUUCUAAAUUACUAUAAUGACGUGCAAGUGUAUGCUGAGUGAUUUACUGGCAGGGAGGUCAUCUGGUGAAAUCGGGGCAUGGAUGUGCGUCUUCUCAACGAAAACUAACUUAUCUGUAUAUGAUGCUCAUGGAUAACCAUCGGAGAUUUCUAACCCCAGGACGCACACCUCGCGGCCAUCACAAUCGAUAUGUUCUCAAAUCAGAUUGUGGAUCCCGUUGUUGACAAGCUUGCUCGGUAUGUAUUCGUCGAGAGGGAGUAAUGCAUCCGGAGUUCUAGACAACAGCAACAUUCGAAGUCAUAGUCAUACUCAUACUCUGGUCAAUCUGCAUUCAGUCAAAAUGGCUCUUUUUUUAAAUGCUAAGUGCUUGUAUUCGGCAGUUGAUGGCUAUUCUGUUUACAUCAAGGGACUCCCAAUGAAUGCUACACCUGCUUUGUUGGAGAAAGAAUUCAAGAAAUCUGGUCCUAUUAAGCCAAAUGGCAUUCAAGUUCGAAGCACCAUGCUGCAGGGAUUUUGUUUUCGAUUUGUUGAAUUUGAGGUGCCCGAUGCAGUUCAAAAGGUGAUUCAGGUAUGAACCAGUUUUUGUUUAUAUGUUAGAAUAGAUAGAAAAUGCUAAAAAAAAUUGUCUAUUGAAUAUUUUCAUUCAUCUCCAAACUUAUUGUUAUUCUUGUGACAUGUGUCUUAUGAUGUUUGAGGCGUAGCCAGUCGCGAUCAAUGGAUGCAAUGCUGUUGUUGAGGAAACACGCUCGACAAACACAUAUGCAAUUAGAUUACAUGUGGCAAAUGGAUUGGUUAAUGGGUCGAAAUAUUGAGUAACUUGGAUCAUAGUAGAUAAAAACAUUGAGAACAUAUUAUUAAAGCAUAUAGGUAUAAUUUUCUUGAAACAGUAGCGCGUGGAAGAUUUCCUAUUUGAAGGGGUGGUGGAUUCAGAAAUGAGGGGUCGUGGAAACUUCACCGGCGGUAGAGGGUGCAAACGUGAUUUUUGGGGCAACAGGGGUGGUGGUCGUGGUGGCGAUGGAUAUCAGGGCAAACUGGGGAAUGGAUGUUAAUAAGAAUAUGGCAUCGCGGGUUCCUGCCAGCGCUUGAGAGGGGGGGGGGGUUGCGUCAUAUUGGGUUAAACACCUAUGGCUGCAUUCCAAAUAUGCUUGCAGGUGUGGCUGACAUCAUCACUUCUUGCUGAUGGGUUGGUAGUUGCUGAACAGGUAGAUGUUUGUUUUGUGUUAUGGUUCAAGUGGCAAAUGAUCUACCAGAACCGAAUGGAGUCCAGGAACCUGUAGACGCGCGUAGGACUUGAACAAAGGCCCCUAUCACUAUUCGGUUUCGCUUUUUUUAAUUAUUAAAAUUUGUUCUCGGUUUCUGGUUCGGGCUGGGUCGGGACUAGAAGGUGCGGCAUGGAUGCUCACCCCUAAGAAAAAUUAUUAUUAUCCUCUAAAAAAUUCUGUUCUACUCAAGAUUUUGAAGCGUUCAUCAUGGUUAGUAUAAAUGUGAAUUGGUUCAGGUUAGAGUUUAAAAAAAUAUAAAUUUGGAGAAAUAGGUAAUACUCACUAUUUUUUUGCCUUUGUUUUCACAGAGUUCGUAAUUUCCACCGUUAGAGAAAAAUUGCUUGCGAAACACAUCUUAAAGGAAUCUUAUAUGUUGCAUCUCAAACUCAAGAAUCUUUGUUAAUGGUAGCUGGAUAGGGGAUCCACUGCAGAGCUCUUGGUGAGGACCUCAUGACCUUGAGACAUGUACUCGCCUCGCCUAAAGGUUGAUGCAUUUGGAAAAGACUCAUUUGGGGAAGUAGAGUAUGGAUUUCAAGGAAGUCAAACACUCACGUAGUGGAUCAAAUAGGGUCUGCUCCUUUAUUGGAUAUGGAAAAAUGGAUGGGAUGACCCAUUUUGAUAACGGGUUCAGGCCAAAAUGAUUACUUCUACAGACUCAAUGUUGAAAUUGUCAACGGUCUGUUUAAAGACUCAAUGUUGAAGUUGACUCCGACGUUUCUUUUUCAUGUUUUUAAGCAUAUUAUAAGAAUAAAUGUGAACUCAUUUGAUGAGUUCAUAUCCACACA